rfam:Capsicum annuum cultivar Zunla-1 chromosome 4, whole genome shotgun sequence
UGAUGAUGGUGAGGGAAAUUUCUGAGCUUACUUUUGAAUCUCUCCUAAGCUUGGUAAAGAUUCCCUCAUUCUUUCUAUCUAAAACUUAAAAUCUCACUUCUCAAAUG